CCGAGCAACGCCGCGUGAACGAUGAAGUAUUUCGGUAUGUAAAGUUCUUUUAUUGAAGAAGAAAAAAUAGUGGAAAAACUAUCUUGACGUUAUUCAAUGAAUAAGCCCCGGCUAACUAUGUGCCAGCAGCCGCGGUAAGACAUAGGGGGCGAGCGUUAUCCGGAAUUAUUGGGCGUAAAGGGUGCGUAGGCGGUUAGGAAAGUCUAUAAUUUAAUUUCAGUGCUUAACGCUGUCUUGUUAUAGAAACUACCUUGACUAGAGUUAGAUAGAGGCAAGCGGAAUUCCAUGUGUAGCGGUAAAAUGUGUAAAUAUAUGGAGGAACACCAGAAGCGUAGGCGGCUUGCUGGGUCUUGACUGACGCUGAGGCACGAAAGCGUGGGUAGCAAACAGGAUUAGAUACCCUGGUAGUCCACGCCGUAAACGAUGAGUACUAAGUGUCGGGAUAAAACUCGGUACUGAAGUUAACACAUUAAGUACUCCGCCUGAGUAGUACGUACGCAAGUAUGAAACUUAAAGGAAUUGACGGGACUCCGCACAAGCGGUGGAUCAUGUUGUUUAAUUCGAAGAUACACGAAAAAUCUUACCAGGUCUUGACAUGCUCUGCAAAGCUAUAGAAAUAUAGUGGAGGUUAUCAGGGACACAGGUGGUGCAUGGUUGUCGUCAGUUCGUGUCGUGAGAUGUUAGGUUAAGUCCUAAAACGAGCGCAACCCUUGUCGUUAGUUACCAGCACGUAAUGGUGGGCACUUUAACGAGACUGCCAAUUAAACAUUGGAGGAAGGUGAGGAUUACGUCAAAUCAUCAUGCCCCUUAUGAUCUGGGCUACAAACGUGAUACAAUGGCUGUUA
rnacentral:rRNA from 1 species